ACGUAGCUUAUGGCUGUAAUCAAGACAGACUCAGGGGUCUGUAGCUCAGUCGGUUAGAGCACGUCUUGAUAAGGCGGGGGUCGUUGGUUCGAAUCCAACCAGACCCACCAAUUGUCUGGCGGUAGAAACCUGAGACGUCUCUGUAUGGGGGCAUAGCUCAGCUGGGAGAGCACCUGCUUUGCAAGCAGGGGGUCGUCGGUUCGAUCCCGUCUGCCUCCACCAAUCUUCAAUGACAAACGUUCGGGUCAGUUGACUCNNUCU
rnacentral:misc_RNA from 1 species